rnacentral:rRNA from 1 species
AUGUCAGAGACGCAGUUGCAGUCUGUUGAUGGCACUGAACCUGUCACACAACCCGAGGAUGUGCCUCUUCAGCUUCUCCUGGAGGACCAACAUAAGAGGAAGAAGCGAGAAGAUUUUGACAAGAGGGCGGCCUGCCUUGAGAAAGGUUCUGAUGUUCCUGGAUCUGUUCAUGCAGCUAAGCUCAUUGUUGAGGAAGACGUGCCGUGUGGCAGUGAUGGCACGGUUGUCCCUGUUAAGAAGAAAAUUAAGAAGACUGCUGCGAGGAAGCUAGUAGUUGGUGAAGUUACUCCUCGGAGGAGCCCACGUGUUUCAAGGCCUGCAGAAGUUGUUGAAGAUGAAGGGCUAGGCGUUGGUGGUACGCCAUGCCAUAGUCCUCGUGUGCUUGCCACUGCCGUGCCUACACCUUCUUCGCUUGAUGCUGGUGCAUCUGGUAAGGGGAAGAAAUGCGGCGUGAAGCGCAAGGUUCCACCUGCAAAGGUCAACAAGGGUGUGAAGAAGCGUUCUCGUGUUAAUCCAGAGGACGAUGAUGAUGCUGAUUUCAAUGUUGAUGAUGAGGACAAUGACGAUGAUGAUGCUGCCACUAAUCAGUAUCAGCUUGUGCUGCGGCCUGAGAGGAGGAAGAGAGGAGGCAAAGCACCCGAAGAAGGUGGCCAAGGAGGAGGUGAGGUGAAAAGUUUUAACAAGACAGUUCGCUGCUCACUAGGAGAGGUCAAGACGUGUGCGAAAAUGCUACAACAUAGGCACAAGACGAGGGUUAUCAAGGCUGGUUUUGGUUGUGUGUUUGACUUGAAGGUUGAUUCCAACAUUUCUCGUCCUUUGAUGGGCAACAUCUACACGAGGAUUGACCCUUCAACCAUGAUUUUGGACAUGGGUGAGGCGAACAAGGUUAUACGUAUUACAAGUGAUGCUAUUCACCAUCUCUUUGGGUUCCCUCAAGGUAAUCGUACCCCCCCUAGGCCCUCGAAUGAUGGUUUCGAUGAUGCUGUUAUGAGGUUGAAGGGCAAGCUUGGGUAUGCUAGGAGUGACGACAUCAAGACAAAGGAUUUGCGGAAUAUCCUCGCUGAACUUGUGAAGGAUGAGACGAAGGAUGAUCUUGCUCUGCAGGUGUUUUACCUUAUUGUUUUCAUGAAGGUGGUUAUCCCUGGAACGUCUACACGAGUGUCCAGGGAGGCAGCAAUGGCCGAGAACCUUGUGUUUGAGGAUAUGGCAGAUAUGGACUACUGUCAGUUGGUUGUUGACUAUAUUCGGAGUGCUGUUGUUAGGUAUCAGCAAGAUCCAGGAGGUUCUUCUACCCGUGUGAGUGCUGUAGGUGGUGUUUCUUCCCAGGAUUUGUUUGAAGCUGCCAAUGUUUCUCUGGUUAGGAUUGACAGUCUUCUUGAAACUAUUUGUGGGGAGUUGGCUCGUGUUCCUUCGACUGCUGAGGACCUUAGUUGCGUUGAUGGGAUUCUUCCUCCCGGGCACGGGUUUGAUGUUGAGUCUUUGAAGGAGAUCUUAUGUAUUGAAGGUAAAUUUCUUGAAGAGCUUCGUCAGAGCACUUCCCACCUCCGGACUAGCGUUGGGCUGUUCAAGGAAAUGCAGGAUGCUCGUUGCAAGCCUUUUGAAGAUGAGGCAAGUGUUGUUGUGAGACAGAUUCAGAGGCAGGAUUCUGUUUGUUCGGGUCGUGAAGGAGGCCACGUGGAGCAUACCAGAGAGGUUGUUGCUGAUGAUGCUAGGGUUGAGGAGGAUGUUUUACCUGCGCAUGAAGCUGCUCCUGUGCAUGAGGCUGCCCCUGUGCAUGAACCUGCUCCGGCUAGUGGCGUAAUAGUUGAUGAGGUUCAUGGCAGUGAAAAUGAGCAGCAGAAUGAUGAUGUUAGUGUUCCUCCAGAGAAGGGCAAGACAACUGGAGACAUCAUUUUGGAGAAAGAUGCUGUUGAGUUUGCUGUUGAAACUGGUGGUAGUGCUGCUGCAAGCCCGAAGAAGUCUCCUGCAGCAGAGCCAUCAGUUGAUGUUAAUGCUGUACAGGCACAACCAAAAGUUUUUCUUGUUUUAGCUUCUCCAGCUGCUCCAGCUGCUGCUGGUGUCCUUCCUGACGAUGCUGCAACGUCUGCUGGAGACGAUGAUGAAGAUACCGAAAGCGAUAGUUAUGGAGAGGAGGUUGAUCAUUCAAGUGCUGCCACUGAUAGCGACCUUGCUGUCGUGCAAAAGAAGGUUGAUGACUUUUAUUACAGUGUAACUAGGCUUAGGAAUGACCGUUCCAAGAGAUCAAUGAUUAUGUUCCGAAACAAGGAGUGUGAAGCUUCUGUUCAAGAAGUCGCAAUAUCUUUUGGUCCUUGCGGAAUGCUUACAUCUAAUGUGGCUGAGUGUGCACUCUAUUGUCUACGUGCGAAGUACCAGGGAUCGGAUAAACUCAUCCUGCCGUAUUGGGUUUGUGACAAGAUUUUCAUAGGUCAAUUUGAUUCCCGUGUGAGGAAGUACUUCAUGGCGAGUGGUCCAGAUAGCAUGGAUGCACAUGAUUCGGUUGUUUUCCCUACUUUUGACCCGCCUGAGCUUCCUGCUUCCAUGGGUGGUGUCGGUCAUUGGGUGUCGGUAUUCCUUGACCUGAAGAAUUCAAGGUUCCAGCUUCUCGAUUCCUACUAUGGACCAAAAGAUGAUGUGCGGGUUCUUGCAAAUUAUUCCCAUGAGAAUAUCGGGGAUAUCAGGAAGACGUGGCUGUACUCAAUCGCUUCUUCUAACCUGUUUGAGACAGACUUCCAAGCUCUGUUUGGCUACUACACCUUGGAACCGUUGGAGCUGACCGAUUACCACUACUCAUUCCUCGGGUCACAGGAAUACCAGCCUAGGGAGGAACCGAUGAGUAUAGCUCCGAUAGAAGAUGAUAGACCUCGGACCCUUAUUCCUUCCAAGUUGGGGAAGACAAGCUACUGCAUGUUUACCAUCCCUGCGAAUGUGAUUGACCUCACAGGACGUGUCCUUUAUACGCUUUUCGGUGAAGGGCAGCAGAUGGAAGGAGACAUAAUGGAUUAUCUCAUAAAUUUGUGGAAGGAUAAGCCGGAGACCUCUGAGAUAUUGACUAGUGCUGACAGGGUUGUACUUAGUCCCUACUUCAUACAGUACUGCCUGGAGUAUGAUUUCUUCGGUGCAACAGUUCCAAAGUUUGAUGCAAAAAAAUCUGCUGGUCUCCUCCCAAUGUUAGUUCGCAAGGAAGAAGACCUUCUUAACGCAAAGCUAAUGAAGAGAUUUGUUGGGUUGCUCGAGGAGGUGUACGGCAAGGCUGCAUACAAGGCGAGCAAGCAGCCUAACUGGGUGACUAUUGCAAAGAGGCUGACUUUCAUCGAUGUUCCGAAGCAGAAGAGUAAUGAUUGUGGUUUCUUUGCCGUGAAGUUCAGCUCUUCGUAUGAUGGCGAUGAGAUUGUUGAAGAUUUUGGUGAUGUGGAAGCUACUGCAGAUGACUGGAAGGUUGAGUUCAUGCACACUCUGAUUUUUAGCGAGAAGAAUGAAGUCGUGCGUUCAGAGCUCCCUAAAGAGAUCCAGUCCUUUGGCCCGUGA